GAUGAACGCUAGCGACAGGCCUAACACAUGCAAGUCGAGGGGCAGCACAAAGUAGCAAUACUUGGUGGCGACCGGCGCACGGGUGAGUAACACGUAUGCAACCUACCUGUAAGCGGGGAAUAACCCGGAGAAAUUCGGACUAACACCGCAUAAUACUGAAUUACUGCAUGGUUUUUCAGUUAAAUAUUUAUAGCUUACAGAUGGGCAUGCGUAUGAUUAGAUAGUUGGUAGGGUAACGGCCUACCAAGUCAACGAUCAUUAGGGGUUCUGAGAGGAAGGUCCCCCACACUGGUACUGAGACACGGACCAGACUCCUACGGGAGGCAGCAGUGAGGAAUAUUGGUCAAUGGGCGAGAGCCUGAACCAGCCAAGUCGCGUGAAGGAAGAAGGUUCUAUGGAUUGUAAACUUCUUUUGUAAGGGAUAAAAAGAGUACGUGUACUCUAUUGUAUGUACUUUACGAAUAAGGAUCGGCUAACUCCGUGCCAGCAGCCGCGGUAAUACGUAG
rnacentral:rRNA from 1 species